GACGAACGCUGGCAGCGUGCUUAACACAUGCAAGUCGAACGGAGUGGCGACCGGGUGAGUAACACGUGGGUGACCUGCCCUGCACUUCGGGAUAAGCCUGGGAAACUGGGUCUAAUACCGGAUAGUGUGGGAUGGUCCCGCGGCCUAUCAGCUUGUUGGUGGGGUAAUGGCCUACCAAGGCGGCGACGGGUAGCCGGCCUGCGAGUGUGGACGGCCACAUGGGGACUGAGACACGGCGCAGAAGCCUACGGGAGGCAGCAGUGGGGAAUAUUGCACAAUGGGCGGAAGGCUGAUGCAGCGACGCCGGGUGGGGGAUGACGGCCUUCGGGUUGUAAACUACUUUAACCAUAGACGCGGUAGAUGGAGAAGAAGCACCGGCUAACUACGUGCCAGCCGCCGCGGUAAUAC
rnacentral:rRNA from 1 species